rnacentral:misc_RNA from 1 species
UAAGGCUUUGCCUUGCGUUGAGAUUUCCUGCAAAGGAACUCUCCAAACACCUGGGCGUCUGUCGUACCUGAACCGCAACACAAUGCGACUAAAGGACUUCGGCGAACGCCAAAAACCGUCAA